rnacentral:rRNA from 1 species
GAUGAACGCUAGCGGCAGGCUUAAUACAUGCAAGUCGAGGGGCAGCGCGGGUAGCAAUACCUGGCGGCGACCGGCAAACGGGUGCGGAACACGUACGCAACCUUCCCAAAACUGGUGAAUAGCCCUCCGAAAGGAGGAUUAAUACACCGUACCAUACCGAGGAGGCAUCUCCUUGUUAUUAUAGUAGCAAUACGGUUUUGGAUGGGCGUGCGCCUGAUUAGGUAGUUGGCGGGGUAACGGCCCACCAAGCCUACGAUCAGUAACUGGUGUGAGAGCACGACCAGUCACACGGGCACUGAGACACGGGCCCGACUCCUACGGGAGGCAGCAGUAAGGAAUAUUGGUCAAUGGACGAAAGUCUGAACCAGCCAUGCCGCGUGAAGGAUGAAGG